CCUGUUUGCCCUUGAAAAGGAAGCUGUUUUAGCUUGGUCAAAAUAUUUACUGGUCACUGGAAAAUCAGAGAACACUGAUGUUGUUAAGACCUUUUUUCAGGACUACGUCUCACAGCAGUGGAGACUCUUCAAUAAAAAUGGAUGUGGCCCUCUAAAGGCUGGGGAUCUUCAGAACAACCACUGUGAGAAGCUCUACCACAGCACAGCCCAGCAGCAGGUAAAAAUCAAAUGUGCUGGAUUAUACAAGCCCUUCCCCGAGACCGUGGUGUGCUCUGGAGGCAAGUGGAGUGCCCUACCUGUGUGCUACGCCGAGCAGGUAAAAGGGCGAGUUGAGUGCAAAUCUGAAGGUGGAGCCACCGUCUGCAGGGCCUCAUGUUCGACUGGCUGGGGCUCCACCACACACCCUGAGCCAGCGGAGUACAAAUGCUCAAAGCCACCCUGUCCUUCCUUCAUACCUCACAAGUGUAACAACUGCACACAAAACAGCGUUUGUGAGUACAAUGAGGUCUGCUCUGGCGUCCUCGGCACAUGUCGUGAUGCAUGCCUGGUGAAUCCCUGUGGAGUGAACACCAAGUGCCACUCCUAUAAUCACAACAGGAUCUGCAACUGUGUGAGCCCGUGGAAAGGAGACCCAUACCAGGGAUGCAAGAGUCAGGACCUCAAGUGGGUUCGGCCCAAUAAAGUGCCCAUCUCUUUUCACCAUAUUUUUCAAUUCAAAAGUGAAACCUCUGAGGAAGGAAUUGUUCUAAAAAAAGUUGAAGAUGCUGUUCGUUCUAAAACCAACCUUGAGGUGUGCAGAGCGAUCGGACCUGACGGUGGGUGGCACAGUGGAUUUGUAAGGGCUGCGCGGUGCUAUUAUGAAAAAGACUGGAAAACUCAUCAAGCCAAAAGCUAUGAGGUUCUGGUUGAUCCGUGCGGAGGAAGUGGUUGGAAAUGGGUGGAGGGGGCACAAAGAAACAUGUACACAUAUGACGAAUCGAGGAGGUUUCCAGGAGUCAAAUACUACGUGUGUAGUUUGAGGAGAAAUGGCUAUGUAGGGAAGCUUUUCAACACACGGAGUGGCUUUCUGUGCCAUUUUCCACUUGGCUCAUACACCCGGGAUGGAAGUUUCUAUGCUCUGGUUACACAACCAUGUUUGUGAAGACUCUUCACCAUGAUUCACGGUUCAGUGCUUAAGUUUCUCUAGUUCCUUUGAUUGGGUGGAGGUGCUGUAUUCAUCUUUCAAAAGACAGACUGAACCUAAAUGCACAGACGGAAAAUAGUAGCCAACUCUCACAAAACAUUUAUGCAACUGGUAUAAACACAUGCUUUUUGUUACUAAUUUUAUUCGGUUACUUUUCAGCGGGAUAUUUUUAGGAUUAAAAAAGUUCUAAAUUGUAUUAGCCAUUAACAUUUGAUGAAAGUGAGCAAGUGGAGUAUAUUUCCACCUGCAGGAUAUGUUAUGUAAGUUUGCAGAAACAUUCUGUGUUCUCUGCACAGUCAAUACUAUGAACUCAAUGCCAUAAUGUCCUUUGCUGCAAUAAUGAUGUAACCAAUGAAAUAUAAAUGCUUCAAUAAACAUUACUAAAUUCACUUUUAUUGUCUUUCUUCAGUGUUACAGCUCAAAAUAAUGGUUGUGGCUGAAAU
rnacentral:lncRNA from 1 species